UGGGGUGUGGCUCAGUAGUAGAGCGCUUGCCUAGCAUGCAGGAGGCCUGGGUUCCAUCCCCAGCACUGCAA
rfam:Cricetulus griseus cell line CHO-K1, whole genome shotgun sequence.